AAAUGGUAACUAGUAAUUGUUGAUCUCAUAAGAGUUUUCAAAUUAAACUGACUCAGAAAUAAGGCUUUGCAAUAUGCAAUCUAUAAAAUCUUGUCUGUCCAGCAAUUUUCUCUCAUUGUUGUCCUAACUACUAUUUUAAAUCAGCACAACAAGGAUUUGUAAAUUUUUGAGCAGAUUUUUGAGUUAAGUUGGGCCAACUCAGUAGAUUCCAGUUUAAACCGGUUUUAACGGCUCUCUGCUGAACCUGAGCUACAGACAUUUUCUGGAUGGACAACGACGUGGAGCCCACAACAAUUUUGCUCAAGAAGGUAUGAGGUGGAUUUCAUGCACUGUAAAUUUUGCAAAUUUGAAAGCUCCAGCCAAGAGACUCUUCUCAAGCAUUUGCGGCUUCAUCACGGACAAGGUGCACACUGGCCUUGCAUUCAUACAGACUGUGUUUGUGUAUUUAAAACACCUGGAGCGUUACGAUCACACAUCUCAAGAUCACACUCAACAGCGAAAUCCCAUGAAAAUUUUACAUUUCAGUGUGAAUUGUGUGAUUUUAAAGAAAUUUGCAGUGAAAAAAUUUUUUGGAACCAUCUCGGACAUCAUUUAAAGAAACGAGAAACUGUACAAUGUCCCUUUCUAAGGUGUACCUUUAAAACAAACACUCGCCCAACCUUCAGUUCUCACAAAAGUCGAAACCAUAAACAUUUUACACUUAAGGAUUUCCGAACAAUAGCAAGAACUGUUACUGAAGAUGAGAUAAUUGAUGAUGAACAAUCUGAUAGUGAAGCAGGGACAUCAGCUCAUAAUACUGUGAGACUAAAUGAGGUUGAAGAUAGUGUUGAGGAUGUAGAUAGUGAGACUCUUGAGCACAAAUUAGCUUCUCUCUUUUUGUCUAUGCAAACUGUGUUGCAUGUUUCUCGAGGUGCAACACAAAAGAUUGUAGAAGAUUUGCAUAAUCUGCUGUCUUUCUCUAACAUUCAAACUUUGAACAGUGUCAAAGAGAUCCUUUCAAAACAUAAAAUUGAAGUAAAUGAUUCUGUUUUGCAAGAAAUUUCUAGUGCUAUAGUUCAAACUAAUCCACUCAUUUUAACAACAUUAGAGAAAGGAUCCCUAUCUACAGAUCACCGAAGGAAUAUAUAUUUCAAAGAGCACUUUCCUGUUAUUGAACCCACAGAAUAUCUGUACAACGCAGCCCAUACAAACUCAUUUGUAUAUAUAUCAGUCACCAAAGUACUUGAAACUUUACUUGGAUGUUCAGAUUUUUUGGACAAAAUUGUAUUUGAUCAAAGAGAUUUAUCUGGUAACUUUAAGUCUUUUCAGGACGGCAAGUACUACAAGGAGAACAAGCUACUGGGACAACAAAACAUCUGUAUCAGUUUGGCAUUAUAUAUUGAUGAUUUUGAAGUUUGUAACCCACUGGGCACCUCUAGAAAAAUCCAUAAGAUUACUGCAGUAUAUUGGGUAGUUCUAAAUUUACCAGUCAGGUUUCGAUCGAGUCUCACUUCAAUUCAGGUAGCUCUCUUGGGUAAAAGUGUGGAUGUCAAACAAUAUGGUUAUGAAAAGUUUCUUGAGCCAUUGCUUAAAGACAUAAAGUGUCUAGAACAAGAGGGAAUUUUUGUUGAAGUUGUGGGUCAGUUUGUUAAAAGCACUGUAUAUUGUGUUUGUGCUGAUAACCUUGGUGCACAUGGUCUUGCAGGCUUUCAAGAAAGUUUUACUGUUGAAAAGUUCUGUCGGUUUUGUUUGAUAAGUCGGGACCAAAUUGCAACCACUGAAGUUAAUGAUUUCCAAUUGAGAAGUGUUGAGCAACAUAACUUGUUUCUGGAAGAGCUUAGGCAGAAGUGCGUUAAAAGUGUUAAUGGGGUUAAAAGUGAAUGUGUCCUGGGAAAACAUCUCCUGUUCUUUCACCCAAUAACUGGAUUUCCUCCAGAUGUUUUGCAUGACCUUUUUGAAGGAGUCAUCCCUGUGGAAUUGUCCUUAUGUUUGAAAAAUCUGAUCUCAAAAGGCUUUAUGAAAUUUGAUGCAUUAAAUGACUGCAUAAAAUCAUUUCCCUACAAGUAUUCAGACAAAGUAAACAAGCCUCAAAAAAUUCCAAAAGCAAGCUUUGAAAAAGGAACAAUUGGAGGUAAUGGGCAUGAAAAUUGGACACUGCUGCGCUUACUUCCUUUUAUAGUUGGACGUAAGAUACCAGAACAGGAGCCUGCCUGGGAAAUUUUGAUGGACCUCAAGGAAAUUGUUGACAUUGUUGUGUCAAACUGUCUCUCUGAGGAAGCAUUGUGUUAUUUAUCUUGUAAACUACUGGAUCAUCACAAGUUGCUCACCAGUACCUUUCCAGAGUUCAGACUGAGGCCAAAACACCACUUCAUUGACCACUACCCACAACUUAUUCGCUGCUAUGGACCUUUAGUGGAAUUGUGGACAAUGAGAUUCGAGGCAAAACAUAGCUUCUUUAAAAAGGUUGUCCAUGAGACUCACAACUGGAAAAAUGUGCUGCUCACUCUCUCCUCAAAACACCAGCAGAUGAUGGCAUACCAUCUGGACAGUGGGAACCUUUUCAAGCCAAAACUGUACGUUGAAAAUGUGAAAGUGGUCAGGGUUUCAGAUCUGGAUCCAUCAAUCAAGUGUGAAAUACUGAAGAAGUACCCACAUCUAGACAGUGUGUCUCUGUCUAAAACAAUUCACCUGCAUGGGACACAGUAUGCAGCGGGCAUGAUUUUAUCUGCUGGACAGUGCAGUGGCCUCCCGGAAUUCCAUAAGAUUGUGAGCAUUCUUGUCAUUGCAAAGGAUGUGGCAUUCAUUUGUAAAAGACUGUCUUCCUGGUACGUUGAACAUUUCAGGUCCUAUGAGCUUGAAUAUCACACCUGUGCAGACCUUCUUCUUCUGGAUCCAGAUGUGCUGACGGAUUACCACCCUCUAGCAGCAUACACAGUUGGUGGAAAGCUUAUGGUGACCCCAAGGAAGUUCCUUCUCCAUUAAAGCUAUUCAAAAUGACUUUGUUACUUCGGGUCGUUCUUUCUACCAGAGAAGCCCGGCGAAUCCAGCUUCCUGAAGUCCCAACAUCUGUGGGGCAAUUUAUUGAUAUACUGAAAGAGAGACUUGAACUUCAAGGUGAUUUCUCACUACAGUUUGAGGAUCCAGAGUUUGGAAAUGCACUCUGCAACUUAACAGAAAUGUCUGAAUUACCAGCUGAGCGUGCAGUCUUGCAUAUAAUGUGGAACAGUGAUUCAUGUCCACUUGACCAAUCCACUAGUUCAGUCUCCUCUCAGGACACACUCAGUGUUCACUCUGAAGAUUUUAGGCCUAGUUGGACUGAUUCUAUCCGGAGGAAUUUAAGGCAAGUCGCAGAGUGGCCAUCUCCAUUUCCUAUCCCUAAGUUUGCAUAUGAUGUGGAACUGAAAUUGUGUAAGGCCAAUGACACAUAUGAAAAGUCAAAGAAGGGCCUUGCAGUGACAAGAGACAUGAAAAUGGAGAUACUGGAUAAAAUUGCACAGGCAAUUUUUGAAAUCAAAAGCUACCCCGAGAAAGAUGAGCUUGAGUCAGUUGCCGCUGCGCUGGUUCAUAAGUAUCCAUGCUUGAAGGAGCCAAUUGGCAUCACAGGCUAUGAGGGAAGGAAAACAAGUAUCAAGUACAAACUUGGAAACUACAGAUCAAAGCUUCGCCAGGCAGGAUGCAAUGAGGUAAAUGUGAACAGGAAAAGAAAAGAGGGGGGUGAAGAUGACAGCCCGUUCACCCUGAAGAAGCCCAAACGUGGAGAGGUCAAUCAUGUGCCAGAUAAUCCACAACACCAUGAUGAUUCUACACUUGAAGAGGAAAGAGUUGCUCUGGUUGAUGAAAUGAAAAAGAAGAAAAGGAACAUGACAUUGAUACAGCAGAAGAUGGAGCUGACGUUUUCCCUCAGGCGGAGAGAAGUCGUGGAGCGUCAGCCUAUGGUAUCUGAGGUCCAAGAGAGGUGGCCUGCGCUGUUUUCGUCUCAGGAGAUAUCUGAAGAAUUUCGGCGUAUCACCAGCAAAGACCUCCUGGGGACUUUUAAUGCAUCCCUUGAAAGAUUUGGACCUGGCCUGCUAAAACUCUACCGGACUAAGAAGGGUGGUUUUGGCCAAGAAAUGGAAGACCUCCUUGAUAAACUCGAUGAUGAGACAUCUGACGUUGUUACACACCGAAAGACAGCAGCACUGAGAGGCUUGCCCAUUUUCCUCCGCGAAGAUACCAAAAGGUUUUUCAUGAAGUGCUUGGACACUGACAUUUUGGCACCAGUGCUGAAAGGGGCGUCUGUGGCCAUCCUCACCAUCCUAGAUGACGAAGCCGACAUCUCACAUGCUCGAGACCAUGCAGUUGUUUUGGAAGGGGGCAUCGUGCUGCAUGAAAUGGAAAACCUCUCCUCUGCGUUCGCCUACCUCUUUGGCCUUCUAUAUGCCCUCAAUAUAAAUUACCCCAAACAGUUGAGGUAUACAUUUGAAGCCAUCCAGACUAUCUUUUUUGAGCUUGGUGGCUCUCGGUGCUCCCAGCGCACAAGAUCUUUGAAAACGAAACUUUUAUUUUGAAUACACAUUUUGUAUGUGUUUAAAUAUACAUAUUGUUGUAUGUGUAUGUGUUUAAAUAUACACACUGUUGUAUGUGUAUGUGUUUAAAUAUACACAUUGUUGUAUGUGUAUGUGUUUAAAUAUACACAUUGUUGUAUGUGUAUGUGUUUGAAUACACAUACACAAUGUGUAUGUGUCUAAAUAUACACAUUGUUGUAUGUGUAUGUGUUUGAAUAUACACAUUGUGUAUGUGUAUGUGUAUGUGUUUGAAUACACAUUGUUGUAUGUGUAUGUGUUUGAAUAUACACAUUGUGUAUGUGUUUGAAUACACAUUGUUGUAUGUGUAUGCAAAAAUGGUUAGUCAUUCAAUUUGAUGUUGCGAACUAAUUUGAGAAGAAAGUUUUUUUACAAAGGCGCUUAACCCGCCUGUUCAAAAUAAAUAAAAAAAUAUAAAGAAAUAUUUCAGAUAACA